rnacentral:rRNA from 1 species
AGCGAACGCUGGCGGCAGGCUUAACACAUGCAAGUCGAACGGGCGUAGCAAUACGUCAGUGGCAGACGGGUGAGUAACGCGUGGGAACGUACCUUUUGGUUCGGAACAACUGAGGGAAACUUCAGCUAAUACCGAAUAAGCCCUUACGGGGAAAGAUUUAUCGCCGAAAGAUCGGCCCGCGUCUGAUUAGCUUGUUGGUGAGGUAACGGCUCACCAAGGCGACGAUCAGUAGCAGGUCUGAGAGGAUGAUCAGCCACAUUGGGACUGAGACACGGCCCAAACUCCUACGGGAGGCAGCAGUGGGGAAUAUUGGACAAUGGGCGAAAGCCUGAUCCAGCCAUGCCGCGUGAGUGAUGAAGGCCCUAGGGUUGUAAAGCUCUUUUGUGCGGGAAGAUAAUGACGGUACCGCAAGAAUAAGCCCCGGCUAACUUCGUGCCAGCCGCCGCCGUAACAC